GCCUGGGUGGCUCAGUCGGUUGAGCAUCUGACUUCGGCUCAGGUCAUGAUCUCACAGUUCAUGGGUUCGAGCCCUGCAUCAGGCU
rnacentral:tRNA from 1 species